CAGUGACAGGACUGGACAGCAGACCUGCAGAGUUUCACACAAUCCUGACCUCUCCAGUGGUGGCUGUCAAUGCCUGAGUACCGACCUGAGAGACCCUCUGCUCUUUCUGAAGGAAUGUGGAAGCCCCCACAACCUGGCAGAAGUGGAGAAACCAGCUCGGCCAGAGGACCAAGAGGUACAGGAGGCCCAGGCAUGACCUAUGGGAUUCCACUACGAACUGUUCUUUAA